rnacentral:rRNA from 1 species
AACGAACGCUGGCGGCGCGUCUUAAGCAUGCAAGUCGAGCGAGAAAGGGUAGCUUGCUAUCCUGGAAAGCGGCGGACUGGUGAGUAACGCGUGGGUGAUCUAGCCUUAAGUUGGGGAUAGCCUGUGGAAACACAGGGUAAUACCGGAUACGCUUAUAUUCUUGCGGGGAUAUAAGGAAAGGCGCUUCGGCGCCGCUUGGGGGUGGGCCCGCGUCAUAUUAGAUAGUUGGUGAGGUAAAGGCCCACCAAGUCGAAGAUAUGUAGCCGGACUGAGAGGUUGAACGGCCACAUUGGGACUGAGAUACGGCCCAAACUCCUACGGGAGGCAGCAGCUAAGAAUAUUCCGCAAUGCCCGGAAGGGUGACGGAGCGACGCCGCGUGGAUGAAGAAGGCCGAAAGGUUGUAAAAUUCUUUUAUUGCUGAAGAAUAAUGGGGGGAGGCAAUGCCCUUCUGAUGACGGUAAGCGAUGAAUAAGCCCCGGCUAAUUACGUGCCAGCAGCCGCGGUAACACGUAAGGGGCGAGCGUUGUUCGGAAUUAUUGGGCGUAAAGGGCGCGUAGGCGGUUAGGCAAGUCGGGCGUGAAAUGGCGGGGCUCAACCCCGUCACUGCGCUUGAAACUGCUUGACUUGAAUAACGGAGGUGCAACUGGAAUUCCGAGUGUAGGGGUGAAAUCUGUAGAUAUUCGGAAGAACACCGGUGGCGAAAGCGGGUUGCAAGCUGAUUAUUGACGCUGAGGCGCGAAAGUGCGGGGAGCGAACAGGAUUAGAUACCCUGGGUAGUCCGCACUAUAAACGAUGCACACUAGGUGUUGGGCCGUGCGGCUCAGUGCCGGAGCGAACGUGUUUAGUGUGCCGCCUGGGGAGUAUGCCCGCAAGGGUGAAACUCAAAGGAAUUGACGGGGGCCCGCACAAGCGGUGGAGCAUGUGGUUUAAUUCGAUGAUACGCGAGGAACCUUACCUGGGUUUGAAACGCAAGGAAAAGGCAAAGAGAUUUGCUGUGGGGGCGACCCCGUCUUGCACAGGUGCUGCAUGGCUGUCGUCAGCUCGUGCCGUGAGGUGUUGGGUUAAGUCCCGCAACGAGCGCAACCCCUACUGCCAGUUACCAUCACACAAUGGUGGGGACUCUGGCGGAACUGCUAGUAACAAACUAGAGGAAGGCGGGGAUGACGUCAAGUCAUCAUGGCCCUUAUGUCCAGGGCGACACACGUGCUACAAUGGCCGGUACAAAGCGAAGCGAUGCCGUGAGGCGAUAGCGAAGCGCAAAAAGCCGGCCGUAGUUCGGAUUGGAGUCUGAAACCCGACUCCAUGAAGUUGGAAUCGCUAGUAAUCGCACAUCAGCAUGGUGCGGUGAAUACGUUCCCGGGCCUUGUACACACCGCCCGUCACACCAUCCGAGUUGAGGAUACCCGAAGCCGUUAGUCUAACCGAAAGGGGGACGAUGUCGAAGGUAUGCUUAGUGAGGGGGGUG